rnacentral:rRNA from 1 species
UACGUAGGGUGCAAGCGUUGUCCGGAAUUAUUGGGCGUAAAGAGCUUGUAGGCGGUUUGUCGCGUCUGCUGUGAAAUUUCGGGGCUCAACCCCGAACUUGCAGUGGGUACGGGCAGACUAGAGUGUGGUAGGGGAGACUGGAAUUCCUGGUGUAGCAGUGAAAUGCGCAGAUAUCAGGAGGAACACCGAUGGCGAAGGCAGGUCUCUGGGCCACUACUGACGCUGAGAAGCGAAAGCAUGGGGAGCGAACAGG